UACGUAGGGUGCAAGCGUUGUCCGGAAUUAUUGGGCGUAAAGAGCGUGUAGGCGGCUUGAUAAGUCUGCUGUGAAAGUCCAGGGCUCAACCCUGGAAAGCCGGUGGAUACUGUCAAGCUAGAGUCCGGAAGGGGCGAGUGGAAUUCCUGGUGUAGCGGUGAAAUGCGCAGAUAUCAGGAGGAACACCAAUGGCGAAGGCAGCUCGCUGGGACGGUACUGACGCUGAGACGCGAAAGCGUGGGGAGCAAACAGG
rnacentral:rRNA from 1 species